rnacentral:rRNA from 1 species
CAUGUAGGCGGAUUGAUAAGUUUGAAGUGAAAUCCUAUAGCUUAACUAUAGAACUGCUUUGAAAACUGUUAAUCUAGAAUGUGGGAGAGGUAGAUGGAAUUUCUGGUGUAGGGGUAAAAUCCGUAGAGAUCAGAAGGAAUACCGAUUGCGAAGGCGAUCUACUGGAACAAUAUUGACGCUGAGACGCGAAAGCGUGGGGAGCAAACA